AGGCAUGUGUUCAACACAGAGCGAACUACUUUUACGUUUUAUUAAAGAAUACCGUGUGUUAUCCACUCUUAACGGUAUACACCAAUUUUUUAAGGCUUCCAUCUCUUAAAAAUGGGG
rnacentral:snRNA from 1 species